GGUUAAUUAAUUUUAAUAUUUAUAUUAAAUAUAUCUCGAAUUUAAAUGAUUUAAUUAAAAAUUUUAAGUUAAUGUAAAAUUAUUAUUAUUAAUUUUUAAUUAGAAGUGAAAUGUUAUUCGAUUUUAAAUAUAUCUAGUUUUUUUAGAAAUGAAUUUUAAUUCAGCUUUAAAAUUAAAAUUUUUUGAUUUUUAAAUUUUAAAUUAAUUAUUUUAAAGUAAAUAUAUUCGGGAUAAAUUGAUUAUAUUAUUUAUAAAUUUAUUUUAUAUUAAUUUAUUUAAAAGUAAUAAUAGAAUUUUUUUUCUUUUAAAAAAAUGUUUUAAUUUAUAAAAUUUAUUAGUGUAAUUUUAUUAAAAAUUUAAUUUUUAUUUUAAUAAUUUAUAAAAAAAUAAUAAUUAAUUUAAUUUUAUAAGUUAUAAUGAUUAUAUUAGUAAUUUUUUUUUGUUUAAAUAAUUUUAAAAUAAUGAAAUAAAAUUAAUUUAAGGAAUUAGGCAAAAUAGUUUAAAAAUUUAAUAAUAUAUAUUUACCUGUUUAUCAAAAACAUGUCUUAUUGAAAAAUUAAUAAUAAGUUUGUUCUGCCCAUUGAAUUAAAAUUUUAAAAGGCUGCAGUAUAUUGACUGUACAAAGGUAGCAAAAUAAAUAGUUUUUUAAUUGAAAACUUGAAUGAAAGAAUUAAUAAAAUAUAAACUGUCUCAAAUUUAAUUUAAAUUGAAUUUAUAAUUAUAGUAAAAAUACUUUAAUAUAUUUAUUAGACGAUAAGACCCUAAGAAUUUAAAAAUAUUUUUUUAUAAAUUUUAUUUAUAAUUAAAAAUUUUUAAAAUUAAUUAUUUUUUUAUUGGGAGGGUAAUUAAAUUUUUAAACUUUAAUUUUUAAUAAACAAAGAUAAUUGAAUUAAUGAUAAUUUUUAUAAUUUAAAGAAUAAAUUACCUUAG
rnacentral:rRNA from 1 species